rnacentral:rRNA from 1 species
UACGUAGGGUGCAAGCGUUGUCCGGAAUUAUUGGGCGUAAAGAGCUUGUAGGCGGUUUGUCGCGUCUGCUGUGAAAUUUCGGGGCUCAACCCCGAACUUGCAGUGGGUACGGGCAGACUAGAGUGUGGUAGGGGAGACUGGAAUUCCUGGUGUAGCGGUGAAAUGCGCAGAUAUCAGGAGGAACACCGAUGGCGAAGGCAGCUCUUUGGGACGGUACUGACGCUGAGACGCGAAAGCGUGGGGAGCGAACAGG